CGCCGCCAUUGCCGGCGGAAGCACCGGCUUGCGGCGCCGGUGCGGCAGGCGGCACGACGAUCGGCUCGGCGGCCGGCGGCGGCACC
rnacentral:tRNA from 1 species